rnacentral:rRNA from 1 species
UACGGAGGGUGCAAGCGUUGUUCGGAAUUAUUGGGCGUAAAGCGAACGUAGGCGGGUUUGUAAGUCGAUUGUGAAAGCCCUGGGCUUAACCCGGGAAUUGCAGUUGAAACUACAAGUCUUGAAUGCUCGAGAGGGUGGUGGAAUUCCUGGAGUAGUAGUGAAAUACGUAGAUAUCAGGAGGAACACCGGAGGCGAAGGCGGCCACCUGGCGAGACAUUGACGCUAAGGUUCGAAAGCGUGGGUAGCAAACAGG